rnacentral:rRNA from 1 species
UUUAGAGUUUGAUCCAUGGCUCAGGAUAAACGCUGGCGGCAUGCCUAAUACAUGCAAGUCGAACGAGAGUGCUUGCACUCUAGUGGCGAACGGGUGAGUAACACGUAAGGAACUUGCCUCAAAGACGAGGAUAAUCACGGGAAACUGUGGCUAAUACUGGAUAGGACGGAGAGUCGCAUGACAUUCCGUUUAAAGAUGCGGAUGCAUCACUUUGAGAGAGCCUUGCGCAGCAUUAGCUAGUUGGUAGGAUAACAGCCUACCAAGGCGACGAUGCUUAGCUGGACUGGGAGGUCGAACAGCCACACUGGGACUGAGACACGGCCCAGACUCCUACGGGAGGCAGCAGUAGGGAAUUUUCGGCAAUGGGCGAAAGCCUGACCGAGCAAUGCCGCGUGAACGAAGAAGGUCUUCGGAUCGUAAAGUUCUGUUGUUAAGGAAGNACACUUAUAAGAGGAAAUGCUUAUAAGCUGACGUACUAACGAGAAGUCCG